rnacentral:rRNA from 1 species
CUCAUUAAAUCAGUUAUAGUUUAUCUGAUGGUCUCUUUGUUCUUCUUUUUACCUACUUGGAUAACCGUGGUAAUUCUAGAGCUAAUACAUGCGCAUGGUCCCGAGCGCGGAGAGUGGGGCCUCACGGUUCUAUUCUCGCAUGCGCAGAGGGAUGUAUUUAUUAGGUUAAAAACCAGCAGCGUCAGCAAUGGCGUUUCACACAACUGGUGAUUCAUAGUAACUCUUUCGGAUCGCAUUGAUG